UAUUCAGCUUCUCGCUUAAACAUACGAACAGAAGAGUUUUUCUCUAUAACAAUUAACAAAAUUAGCCCUAAUUUGCAUCUCUCAAAUUACUCUUCUCGAUUCACAGUGAUGUGCGCAAUUCUCUCAUCAAUUCGUUGUGAUGUGCUCAAAUUGAUACUCGAUUCCCUUUGGUGAUCUCUAUGUUACUCUAUUUUUUCAAUGUAAUACAGUUUAUAUUGCCUGUAGAUUGGUCAUCAUGCUUUAGCGAUUCCAAUGUGUUUUCUUGUAUAUCCUUGUGCUUGCAGUGUUGGGAUGUCCUUUUAGACUUGAUUUUGAUUGUGUAUAUCGGAUGCUUUGUGAUUGAAAACUUGUGGUUCUUCGUUUGUCUUCUCUAUAGUAUUUGUGGUGAAAGUCUCAUUCAAGAGUAGGGAAAAGUGAUCGAUUCAAGAGUAGGGAAAAGUGAUCGAUUCUUAAUGAACUUUUUAUGGUUGUAUGUCAAUGAACAAAAGGAUCCCAGGGGUAUUACAACUUGUUUUGUGUUUUCUCGUUAUAUGUUAAUGGGUUGUGUUAGUUUCAAUUAAUCUGGUGUAUUUUUCAUUUGGGUUUGGGACAAUUUUCAGCAUUAGCAGAGAGUAAGAAUUCAUCACAAAGACAGUCGGCUACAUUAAGAACUUAUCCGCAACCAAAUUUUGGCUUACAUAUAGAGGUAUGGAAUAGCUCAUCAAGGUAAAAUCAUGCUGCUACUAUUGUGCUGGCUGUAUCUAAAUUGAAGAAGUGGCAUAGACGAAUUAAUAGGAAUACACUCUUGCAAGUGAAUGAUAUAAUGAACUGAGCACUGCUUCUUGUUUCUCUAUCCUUUUACUCUUCUUUUUGAAUUUUACGGGCCAUGAAGCCUCAUUAUUAAUUUAAACUAUUGGGAAGAAUUCAAAUUGUUCAAGUUUAGAAUUUUUUUUCCAGUGAAUUAUAUAAUGAAAUAAACACCACUUGUCUGUGUGUGAUUUUCUUUUUAUUGAUAAAGUUAUUUAUUGUAUCAAAAGGUUUGUUAUAGACUGUUAUUUCUAAAGUCUUUUCUUUUAGGAGGAGAAAGAGGAAGAGGAAGAAGAAGAAGAGCAGGGUAAGAUGAAAGAUAAUUAAAAGGAUGUCGCUUUAGAAGAGAUGACUCUUGCUACAGCUAAAGAAGCAGAAGAACUAAAGAAAACCAAAACUUUAGAUCAGCAAGAGCAGCUUUGUGAGCUUAGUCGUGCAAUUGUUGUUUUAUCAUUGGCUUUCAGAAAGAGUUGAACGAUAACAUGGCGGAUAAAUGGGGUCUUGAAGGUGAAGAAGAAGCCCGAAAGUCAUAUAAAGCAACUUCCGAAAAAAAAUAGUGACCACACUAAAGAAAGGACUGUGCAACACUUAUUAAAAGGGUUGAUGAAAUGCUCCACAAACUUGAAAAGGAAAUUGAUGAUUAUGAUGCUACGAUUGGUGAUCGUUUGCGGUUACUAGACAGGUAUGUAUAGAGAAACUAGUAAUAUGGACUACAAAUGGCAUUUAGAUGCUAUCCAAAAAUCUACAAAGCAGCAGUUCUGAGCAACCUGAACAUAGUCUCUAUAUUUCACCAUAAUUUAAUGACUGUUACGGCCACUGGUCACAAUAAAAGAGAUAAUAAUAAGUUUGCAUAUGAACAUUGAUGUUUCAUAUUUCUAAUAUAUAACUGUUCUACCUAGAUGUUCAUUUGAAAUAAUUUCAGCAUUAUAACCUAUAUCAAUCUAUAACUGUUCUCAUCUACAAGUUCUAAAUCAUACGGAAGUUUUGGGGUUAGAGAAGUUCUUGCCAUUAGCCACUGAUGGUUGUUCUGGUACACAAGCCUUUUUCUUAACUUCUAAAUAUUGUCCAUUUGAAGGGAAGCCUUGUAGAAAUGGUCCAAUUUUUUCUGUGACCUUUAAGUCACGGGUUCGAGCUGGAAAGCAGCCACUAAUGCUUGCAUUAGGGUAGAUUAUCUACCCCACACCCCUUGGAGUACAGCCCUUGCCCAAACCCUACUACAGCGAUAUAUUUUGUAUGCUAGGCUGCCUUUCGAUUCUAAGUUACUGACUAUGAAUAUUCUGCAACUGGAAACAACACUGCUGAAGCAAGAGACAUUGCAGCUGUUGGAAUUGAUGAAAAUGGUAUUGCAUCAGUUGUUCAUGGAAGUUCUAAUAUGCAUCAGCCAGAGGAUGGCCUAGAAGAUGAGCAAACUGAUCUUGAAGUUGAACUUAUGAGCAAGUAUUUGAAUUGAGCUUACAACCAUCAUAAAUAUAUUGAUCCACUUGCAGCCAACAGAAUUUAUUUAAAUAGUGGCAGGAAGGUGUGAAUAACCAAUACCUGAAUCUGUAUGCAAGAUUUGGUGUUAUUCCAAGGAAACUUCUUCAGGGAAGGACUGUAGAGGUGCAUGGAUCUUGUUCAAUUAUAGAUUUUAUUAAUUUAAAUUUUCCAUGAGGUUAAUUGUAUUGAUUUCUAGUUAUGGUAAGAUUUGAAUUUGCAAAUAGUUGUAAUCGUCUUAUAGCUACUACAUGAUGGGACAAGAUUGUUCCUUUAGGAAUUUCUUAAGAUGAUAUCUGUAUUGAAGUCUUAUCACAGAAAAAAGGAACUCAAUUAUCCUUGGCUAUAUGUAUCAUAUCAUCA